rnacentral:lncRNA from 1 species
GGCACUUAGUAGAUGCCUGAGGUUGGAUUCCCUAAAAGCAGAGCCUGAAGUGUGUAUUCUUGUGCACACGAGUUUUGAGUGUUCCCUGGAGUGAAGGAAGGAGUGAAGCAAGGCCUCUGCUCAAGAUCACCUUCAGCCUGAUGCCAUGGUAUAAAAUGGACUAUAACAUGAGAACAAAUAACUACGACAUUGUGCUACAAUCUACAGCAGGAAGACAGAUAACAGUGCAGAAGACAGAUAAUAGUGAGAAAGAAAAAGAAAGAUGAAAAUACACUCAAAAAUCAUAGCCCUUCUUUUUCAGGGUUAUAAAUCUACCAUCGCCACCAUCACCAUCUAAGGAGACCCCCAUACAUGAUGCCACUUUAAGAGGAGAGGCCCCCUCUCCAUGCCUUACCUGGAAUGUAUGCUUGAAGUCUUAGACUUAUUCAGAAGCUUCCUGAAACAGCUGCUUUACACAAACUGGAAGUGUGGGGGAGUUAAAAUGUUGUUGGAUUUCACACCCAUUAGAAUAACUACUAUUAAAAAAACCCCA